rnacentral:rRNA from 1 species
UACGUAGGGUGCAGACGUCGUUGAUUCGAUCUGGGCGUAAAGGGCGCGUAGGCGGCUCGGCACGUCCGUUGUGAAAUCGCCCGGCUCAACUGGGCGGGGUCAGCGGAUACGGUCGAGCUUGAGCAAGCUAGGGGGCAAUGGAAUUCCCGGUGUAGUGGUGGAAUGCGUAGAUAUCGGGAGGAACACCAGUGGCGAAGGCGGUUGCCUGGAGCUUUGCUGACGCUGAGGCGCGAAAGCGUGGGGAGCGAGUCCGG